AGGACGAACGCUGGCGGCGUGCUUAACACAUGCAAGUGGAGCGACGAACCAGGGCUUGCCCUGGGGCAGAGCCGCGAACGGGUGAGUAACACGUGGGUUACCUGCCUCGAUGACCGGGACAACCCGAGGAAAACUCGGGCUAAUACCGGAUGUGCCCGCAAGGGGAAAGGAAGCUUCGGCCUCCGCAUCGAGAUGGGCCCGCGGCCCAUUAGCUUGUUGGUGAGGUAACGGCUCACCAAGGCUUCGAUGGGUAGCUGGUCUGAGAGGACGAUCAGCCACACUGGGACUGAGAACGGCCCAGACUCCUACGGGGGGCAGCAGUGAGGAAUUUUCCGCAAUGGACGCAAGUCUGACGGAGCAACGCCGCGUGCAGGAUGAAGGUUUUCGGAUCGUAAACUGCUUUUCUCGGGGACGAGCAAGGACGGUACCCGAGGAAGAAGCCCGGCUAACGUACGCGCCAGCAGCCGC
rnacentral:rRNA from 1 species